GGAGAACGGGAGAGGUCGGGAAUGCGGGAAUUUGGAUCCUGGGGAAAGGGGAAUGUGGGAAUGGGAAUGCAGAGGGGGAAUGGGAAUAUGGGAAUGGAGGGAAUGGGGGAGGAUCCCUGCUCGGGUUUCCCGGGAGAAGGAAUCCCCAGGGAUGUUCCCAUGUGGCGAUCCCAGGAUUGGGCUCGGAAGUUCCGUGGAAAUCGGGAUUCCAGAGGCGGCAGGAGCUGCCGGAAUCCGGCCGAUCCCAGCGGGAUCCCAACGGGAACGGAUUGUGCCGGGAGCUCCCAGGGGAUGGCUGGGACUGAGGGAUCGCUGGGAUUCCGGGAUCACCGGGAUUCAGGAACACUGGGAUUCCAGGCUCACUGGGUUUCAGGGAUGGCUGGGAUGUUGGGAUUGCUGGGAUUGAGGGAUCACUGGGAUUUAAGGAUUGUUGGGAUUCAGGGAUUGCUGGAAUUCAGGGAUCACUGGGGUUCAGGAUCGCUGGGAUUCCAGGAUCUCUGGAAUUCCGGGCUGGCUCCGGAGCCAUGGCGGCAGCGGAUGCGGACGCGGAGUGGCUGCGCUGGGCCAGCGAACGCUUUGGGAACGGCGCCGGGAAGGAGCCGGAGAUCGGCCUGGAGGAAUUCACACGGACCCUGGGGAUCAAGGAGGGAGCGGCUCCAUUGAUGGGCAGGAGCUGCUCCAGGUGCUCCGGGGGUGUCUCCGGGAGAGCUCCCUGGCCCUGCCCGAGGAGCGGCUCCGGGCCCUGAGCCAGGCCCUGCUCCGCGCCUGCGACCGCGACCGCAGCGGCUCCAUCUCCUUCCCGGAGCUCCGGGAACAGCUGGAGGCGUUCCCGGAACUCCUGGAGAGCCUGAGCAUCAGGUGGGAACGGGAUCCACACCUGGGAGAUCUGGGAAGGGAUUCCAUGGGGACACAGCUGUGGGGUCAGAGCAGCCGGAGAGGUUUGGGAUUGGAUCAGGGAUGGUUUGGGAUGGAGCAGGGUUUGGAUCAGGGAUUGGAUCAGGGUUUGGAUUUUGGGAUGGUUUGGGAUGGAGCAGGGAAUGUUCUGGGAUGGACAGGGAUGGAUGUGGGAAUGUCCGGCUGUAGGGCCGGGUACCACCCAGCAAACCCCGAAUUCCCACCCAACCCCGAAUUCCCAGCAAUCCCAAACUCCCAGCAAUCCCCAAUUCCCGUUUCCCAGUGCCGCCUCCUGGCUGAAGCCCCCCAGUCCCGCCGAGCGCCGCCUGUGCUGCUUUUCCUGGGAAUCCUGCCGGGAGCAGCGGGCCGGGCUGCGCCGCUUUUCCCGGGAAUGCGGCGGCCCGGGCGGCUUUUCCCGGGAAUGCUGGCGGGCCGGGAUGCGCCGCUUUUCC
rnacentral:lncRNA from 1 species